rnacentral:rRNA from 1 species
CCCUUAGCUGUUCUGGGCCGCACGCGUGCUACACUGAGUGGAUCAGCGGGUCAGGUUGCGCGAAAGUGUUUCCUAAUCUUGAAAUCCGCUCGUGAUGGGGAUUGACGGUUGCAAUUUUCCGUCAUGAACGAGGAAUACCUUGUAAGCGCGGGUCAUCAUCCCGCGCUGAAUACGUCCCUGCCCUUUGUACACACCGCCCGUCGCUCCUACCGAUUGAGUGGUCCGGUGAGGCUUUGGGAUCUGAGCAAAGAGAGCGUUUCGCUCGUUUUGCCCGGAAAACUCAGUCGAACCUUAUCAUUUAGAGGAAGGAGAAGUCGUAACA